UGAAUUGCUGCGUCACGUGCGACUAAGAAAUAAGGAGGUUAUACCAAUUGAAUUAAAAUUGUAAAACAAUAGCUUUAAAUGUUGUUUCUCUCUUUCAGAGCAACACGCUUCUAUUGUUUUUCUUUUCAUCAUCAGGUAGUCAUUACCACCUAAAUUAAAUAAGAACAUUAUA